rnacentral:rRNA from 1 species
AACGUAGGAGACAAACGUUAUCCGGAGUUACUGGGCGUAAAGGGCGUGUAGGUGGUUUCGUAAGUCUGGCGUGAAAUUUUUCGGCUUAACCGGGAAAGGUCGUCGGAUACUGCGGAACUAGAGUACUGGAGAGGGUCGUGGAAUUCCCGGUGUAGCGGUGAAAUGCGUAGAGAUCGGGAGGAACACCAGAGGCGAAGGCGGCGACCUGGACAGUUACUGACACUCAACUGCGAAAGCGUGGGGAGCAAACAGG